CCCCGCCCCGCCCGGCCCCGCC
rnacentral:miRNA from 1 species